AAUGAACGUUGGCGGCAUGGAUUAGGCAUGCAAGUCGAGCGAGAAGAGUUUUGAAGCUUGCUUUAGAACUCGGACAGCGGCGAAAGGGAGAGUAACGCGUAGUUAUGUGCCCUAGGGUCCGGAAUAGCCACGGGAAACUGUGGGUAAUGCCGGAUAACAUCCCCGGAUCAAAGGUGUGAUUCCGCCCUAGGAGCAGACUGCGUCCUACUAGCUAGUUGGUGGGGUAAUGGCCCACCAAGGCAAUGAUGGGUAGCGGGUGUGAGAGCAUGACCCGUCUAACUGGGACUGAGACACUGCCCAGACACCUACGGGUGGCUGCAGUGGAGAAUCUUCGGCAAUGGGCGAAAGCCUGACCGAGCGAUGCCGCGUGCGGGAUGAAGGCCCUCGGGUUGUAAACCGCUGUCGUAGGGGAGGAAGGUUCCGUGAAGAGCGGAAUUUGACCUAUCCUAGGAGGAAGUACGGGCUAAGUUCGUGCCAGCAGCCGCCGUAAAAC
rnacentral:rRNA from 1 species